UACAGAGGUCUCGAGCGUUAGGCGGAAUCACUGGGCUUAAAGCGUGUGUAGGUGGAUCGUUAAGUACCUUGUGAAAUCCCACGGCUUAACCGUGGAACUGCUUGGUAUACUGGCGGUCUUGAGUCAGCUAGGGGCUACCGGAACAAAUGGUGGAGCGGUGAAAUGCGUAGAUAUCAUCUGGAACGCCAAUGGUGCAGACAGGCUGCUGGGGAUGUACUGACGCUGAGGCACGAAAGCCAGGGGAGCGAACAGG
rnacentral:rRNA from 1 species